UCCACUCUUAUCCGUGAUAGACCAUAAAUAUGAAUAACUUUGAAUCGUAUCAUUAGGUUGAUGACAGUUGUUGACAGGUCAUUAAGGAGCUGGUAGGGUUGGUCGGUACAGAGACAGGUCAUUAAGGAGCAGGUAGGGGUUAGACAGUACAGAGACAGGUCAUUAAGGAGCAGGUAGGGGUUAGACAGUACAGAGACAGGUCAUUAAGGAGCAGGUAGGGGUUAGACAGUACAGAGACAGGUCAUUAAGGAGCUGGUAGGGUUGGUCGGUACAGAGACAGGUCAUUAAGGAGCAGGUAGGGGUUAGACAGUACAGAGACAGGUCAUUAAGGAGCUGGUAGGGUUGGUCGGUACAGAGACAGGUCAUUAAGGAGCAGGUAGGGGUUAGACAGUACAGAGACAGGUCAUUAAGGAGCAGGUAGGGGUUAGACAGUACAGAGACAGGUCAUUAAGGAGCAGGUAGGGGUUAGACAGUACAGAUACAGGUCAUUAAGGAGCAGGUAGGGGUUAGACAGUACAGAGACAGUUCAUUAAGGAGCAGGUAGGGGUUAGACAGUACAGAGACAGUUCAUUAAGGAGCAGGUAGGGGUUAGACAGUACAGAGACAGGUCAUUAAGGAGCAGGUAGGGGUUAGACAGUACAGAGACAGGUCAUUAAGGAGCAGGUAGGGGUUAGACAGUACAGAGACAGGUCAUUAAGGAGCAGGUAGGAGUUAGACAGUACAGAGACAGGUCAUUAAGGAGCAGGUAGGGGUUAGACAGUACAGAGGCAGGUCAUUAAGGAGCAGGUAGGGGUUAGACAGUACAGAGACAGGUCAUUAAGGAGCAGGUAGGGGUUAGACAGUACAGAGAUAGGUCAUUAAGGAGCAGGUAGGGGUUAGACAGUACAGAGAGGUCAUUAAGGAGCCGGUACGGGUUAGACAGUACAGAGACAGGUCAUUAAGGAGCCGGUAGGGGUUAGACAGUACAGAGACAGGUCAUUAAGGAGCAGGUAGGGGUUGGACAGUACAACCCCUCAGGUUGAUCACCCAGAACCUCCCAGCCUGGAGUCAGGUUGACGUUAAUAAUGACUGUUUCUUUUUGUCUUCUUGCGUCCUUGGGAGACUUUAAAGGUACUUGGGACAGAAUGAACUGUUGUUAUAUUUGCAGUGCGGUAUUAUGAUUGCAUUAUUUGGACACUAACAACAUCUUGGUUACUGAAGGCGGUUAAACGUCAUCAUGGACUGGGUCCUGUUCUCUGUGGGCCUGCAUCACAGAUCUGGUUGUGAUGUCAUACCACAUGAGGAAGUCUAUAUAUGGUCCUGCCUUCAUAGCGGUUUAACCAGCACAGGGAGCAGUUGGUAUGAUAUCCGCAUGGUGAACUUGAUCUUAUCAGACACGUUUGAAGCCCUUUGAGGCCUUCUGUGUGGAUGAUGAAUGGUUGUUAAAUAGUGCAAUAGAAACGUCCGGGAAGCAUCUCCACACCUUUCCCCUCCUUGAGAAUGAGAGGGUCUAUGAAUCUGCGUCUAGGAAAAAACACCCUGCCUCUCGUCCAAAGUUAACAGAGACAACAGCGCCCUGUGACCGUAAAUACGCAGCUCAUAACAAAUCUGAGGCUGGGAGGAGUUUGAACUCGGAGGGGAACUGGUCCAACUGGUUGGUUCAUAAUUUCCUUGUUAUGAGUCGGACGGUUUGUUGUGGCUCACUUCAUCACAGCAGGAAGACGACGAAGGUACUGUAGUCCACUCUUAUCCGUGAUAGAUCAUAAAUAUGAAUAACUUUGAUUCUUAUCAGUAGGUUGAUGACAGCUGUUGACAGGUCAUUAAGGAGCAGGUAGGGGUUAGACAGUACAGAGACAGGUCAUUAAGGAGCAGGUAGGGGUUAGACAGUACAGGGACAGGUCAUUAAGGAGCAGGUAGGGGUUAGACAGUGCAGAGGCAGGGGUUGGGGUCUUCUUGAAGACUCCAGACAUUGGGGAUUGUACUCAGAACCUUUCAGCUGGGAGUCAAGCACCCGGUGACCCUGGGUGACUUUAACGCUAGGCAUCUGGUUAGGUAGUAUCUGUGGAGACCUGUUUUUAUUGUUGCAAUUAUUAUUUAUAUUUGUACGACCCAUAUCUCAACCUCUGAGUGGUGAAACGUUUUCAAAUCUCAGACCUUUUGUUGUCCCUCUAACUUAAAUCUCGAAAAAGAUUGGUGCAGAGAUUCCCAUAGGGGGCGCUAUAACUUCAGGUCUUGGUUAAACCCUCAUCAUGGCCGCCUGAUGCAUAAAACAUUCUGAACCUCUGUGUUCAGGCCUUAUUUCGAAUGCCAAAUGCUAUUUUGAACCGUAAUGUCUGUGAGGAUGAUUGUGCUGUUAAGUGAACAUUUUGUGAAAACUUCAGAAAUGUUCUCCAAUUUAUUUACGAUACAUUAUUCAUUGACAAAGAAAAUUGUUGGCCUAAAAGGUCGGAUUUUUCCUCAUUUUUUUAAAUAAGGGAUUAAGAUGAUUUUUUAUUCCUCAUUUUAGUCAACUUUAGCAUGGGUGCAUAAACUUAUUCUUACCACUACAUAUUUAUUGAUUUGCAAUGCUGUUUCCAUUAGCGAUAAUUGUAAGACAUUGCAUUGAGGAGUUCAAAGUUUUGAAUGUUUGCCUACCAGGUAGAGAACAAGCAAUAACAUUCAAUCGUGAACUAAAUUGACAUUGGCUGGAGCAGAAUGGUUAUAUGCUCACUAAAUGCAACCAACCUGUCCGUCAGGAAUCCAGAAUAAUCCAGGCAAUAAUCAUUGCAGAUUUAUGUUUCUAUGUUUUUUCAUUUUAAGGUAUUCACAGUGUAAAUGCUCGUAGUGGCCGUCCUGAUGGAUAAAACAUUCUGAAACUUGGUGUACACUUGUUACACUUGAGGGGUUAACUAACUGCGUCACAUAGAAGCCACC